rnacentral:rRNA from 1 species
UACGUAGGGUGCAAGCGUUAAUCGGAAUUACUGGGCGUAAAGCGUGCGCAGGCGGCUUGUUAAGUCUUGCGUGAAAUCUCGGGGCUCAACCCCGAGCGGUCGUGAGAAACUGGCAGGCUAGAGUGCGGGAGAGGAGAGUGGAAUUCCUGGUGUAGCGGUGAAAUGCGCAGAUAUCAGGAAGAACACCCGUGGCGAAGGCGGCUCUCUGGAACGCAACUGACGCUGAGACGCGAAAGCGUGGGGAGCAAACAGG